rnacentral:misc_RNA from 1 species
GAUGAAGAACGUAGCGAAAUGCGAUAAGUAAUGUGAAUUGCAGAAUUCAGUGAAUCAUCGAAUCUUUGAACGCACAUUGCGCCCGUCAGUAUUCUGGCGGGCAUGCCUGUUCGAGCGUCAUUACGCCCCUCAAGUCCCCUGUGGACUUGGUGUUGGGGAUCGGCGAGGCUGGUUUUCCAGCACAGCCGUCCCUUAAAUUAAUUGGCGGUCUCGCCGUGGCCCUCCUCUGCGCAGUAGUAAAACACUCGCAACAGGAGCCCGGCGCGGUCCACUGCCGUAAAACCCCCCAACUUUUUAUAGUUGACCUCGAAUCAGGUGGGACUACCCGCUGAACUUAAGCAUAUCAAUAAGCGGAGGA